rnacentral:tRNA from 1 species
AUCUAAAUAGUUUAUUAGAAUAUCGAUUUGUGGGGUCGAAGGAAUAUUAUAAGUAUUUUAGGUA